UAAAAGUGAAAAAACCGUCAACACUGCUCUUGGAGUCAAGAAAAAUGCACAGGACAGUAAAAAUAGAGUGAACGCCAUUUUAUCUCUAAACUUCCUCCGAGUGAGAUUUGUGAUUGGUUGUCAAAAAAACAACCAAAAAAAACUAAUUGGUCCAACUAAAACAUGCAACAAAAAAAUUAAAUAAAUUUGGAUUUAUUUUGAUUCAUUAAAAUCAAUUUUAUUCAAACAAAAUUUGGAUGAUCUAAUUUAGCACAUUUUUGUGUGUGCUGAAUUUAUGUAAA